UACGUAGGGCGCAAGCGUUAUCCGGAAUUAUUGGGCGUAAAGAGCUCGUAGGCGGUGUGGCGCGUCUGCUGUGAAAGUCCGGGGCUCAACUCCGGAUCUGCGGUGGGUACGGGCAGACUAGAGUGAUGUAGGGGAGACUGGAAUUCCUGGUGUAGCGGUGAAAUGCGCAGAUAUCAGGAGGAACACCGAUGGCGAAGGCAGGUCUCUGGGCAUUAACUGACGCUGAGGAGCGAAAGCAUGGGGAGCGAACAGG
rnacentral:rRNA from 1 species